CAGGCCUAACACAUGCAAGUCGAACGAGAAAGUGGAGCAAUCCAUGAGUAAAGUGGCGACCGGGUGAGUAACACGUGACUAACCUACCUUCGAGUGGGGGAUAACUCCGGGAAACCGGGGCUAAUACCGCAUAACAUCUUCGGAUCGGAAGAACUGAAGAUCAAAGGAGCAAUUCGCUUGAAGAGGGAGUCGCGGCUGAUUAGCUUGUUGGCGGGGUAAUGGCCCACCAAGGCUAUGAUCGGUAUCCGGCCUGAGAGGGCGCACGGACACACUGGAACUGAAACACGGUCCAGACUCCUACGGGAGGCAGCAGUGGGGAAUUUUGCGCAAUGGGGGAAACCCUGACGCAGCAACGCCGCGUGGAGGAUGAAGUCCCUUGGGACGUAAACUCCUUUCGACCGGGACGAUAAUGACGGUACCGGUGGAAGAAGCCCCGGCUAACUUCGUGCCAGCAGCCGCGGUAAUACA
rnacentral:rRNA from 1 species